UACGCAGGGUGCAAGCGUUAAUCGGAAUUACUGGGCGUAAAGUGUGCGCAGGCGGCCGAGCAUGUCGAGUGUGAAAGCCCCGGGCUUAACCUGGGAACUGCGCUCGAAACUACUUGGCUGGAGUGUGGCAGAGGAAGGUGGAAUUCCACGUGUAGCGGUGAAAUGCGUAGAGAUGUGGAGGAACACCGAUGGCGAAGGCAGCCUUCUGGGCCAACACUGACGCUCAUGCACGAAAGCGUGGGGAGCAAACAGG
rnacentral:rRNA from 1 species